CCUGUCCUACGGGGCGCAGCAGUGGGGAAUAUUGCACAAUGGGGGAAACCCUGAUGCAGCGACGCCGCGUGAGUGAAGAAGUAUUUCGGUAUGUAAAGCUCUAUCAGCAGGGAAGAUAAUGACGGUACCUGACUAAGAAGCUCCGGCUAAAUACGUGCCAGCAGCCGCGGUAAUACGUAGGGGGCAAGCGUUAUCCGGAAUCACUGGGUGUAAAGGGAGCGUAGACGGCUGAGCAAGCCUGAAGUGAAAGGCGGGGGCCCAACCCCCGGACUGCUUUGGGAACUGUACGGCUGGAGUGCAGGGGG
rnacentral:rRNA from 1 species